rnacentral:tRNA from 1 species
AAAAAGUUAGUUUAUAAAAAACAUUAAUUUGUCAAAUUAAAAAAAUUAUAUAAUACUUUUUU